AGGGGUGUAAAGAUAAAUGAAAAUCGCUCGGCCUCCAAAGUCGUAGUACACAGGUUUGAUUCCUGUCGCCCCUGCCA
rnacentral:tRNA from 1 species